AGCGAACGCUGGCGGCAGGCCUAACACAUGCAAGUCGAACGAGCCUUCGGGCUAGUGGCGGACGGGUGAGUAACACGUGGGAACGUACCUUUAGGUUCGGAAUAACUCAGGGAAACUUGAGCUAAUACCGGAUGUGCCCUUCGGGGGAAAGAUUUAUCGCCUUUAGAGCGGCCCGCGUUAGAUUAGCUAGUUGGUGGGGUAAUGGCCCACCAAGGCUACGAUCUAUAGCUGGUUUGAGAGGAUGACCAGCCACACUGGGACUGAGACACGGCCCAGGCUCCUACGGGAGGCAGCAGUGGGGAAUCUUGGACAAUGGGGGCAACCCUGAUCCAGCCAUGCCGCGUGAGCGAUGAAGGCCUUAGGGUUGUAAAGCUCUUUCAGCGGGGAAGAUAAUGACGGUACCCGCAGAAGAAGCCCCGGCUAACUCCGUGCCAGCCGCCGCAGUAA
rnacentral:rRNA from 1 species